GACGAACGCUGGCGGCGUGCUUAACACAUGCAAGUCGAACGGAAAGGCCCUGAAUUUGUGGGGUGCUCGAGUGGCGAACGGGUGAGUAACACGUGAGUAACCUGCCCUUGACUUUGGGAUAACUUCAGGAAACUGGGGCUCAUACCGGCUGGGAGCUCCUGCUGCAUGGUGGGGGUUGGAAAGUUGCGGCGGUUGGAGAUGGACUCGCGGCUUAUCAGCUUGUUGGUGGGGUAGUGGCUUACCAAGGGAUUGACGGACAGCCGGCCUGAGAGGGGGACCGGCCACAAUGGGACUGAGAUACGGCCCAGACGGCUACGGUAGGCAGCAGUGGAGAGUAUUGCACAGUGAGCGGAAGCCUGAUGCAGCAACGCCGCGUGCGGGAUGACGGCCUUCGGGGUGUAAACCGCUUUCUCCUGUGACGAAGCGUGAGUGACGGUAAUGGGUAAAGAAGCACCGGCUAACUACGUG
rnacentral:rRNA from 1 species